CCUACGGGAGGCAGCAGUGGGGAAUAUUGCACAAUGGGGGAAACCCUGAUGCAGCGACGCCGCGUGAGUGAAGAAGUAUUUCGGUAUUUAAAGCUCUAUCAGCAGGGAAGAAGAAAGACGGUACCUGACUAAGAAGCCCCGGCUAACUACGUGCCAGCAGCCGCGGUAAUACGUAGGGGGCGAGCGUUAUCCGGAUUUACUGGGUGUAAAGGGAGCGUAGACGGCUGUGCAAGUGUGAAGUGAAAGCCCAGGGCUCAACCAUGGGACUGCUUUGGAAACUGGGUAGCUAGAGUGCUGGAGACGUAAGUGGAAUUCGUAGUGUAGCGGUGAAAUGCGUAGAUAUUAGGAGGAACACCAGUGGCGAAGGCAGCUUACUGGACAGUAACUGACGUUGAGGCUCGAAAGCGUGGGUAGCAAACAGGAUUAGAUACCCUUGUAGUC
rnacentral:rRNA from 1 species